AUGACUGGGGGCACUGAAAUAGGAAAGACACUUGCAGAAAAGAGCCGAGGCCUAUUUAGUGCUAAUGACUGGCAAUGUAAAACUUGCAGCAAUGUGAAUUGGGCCAGAAGAUCAGAGUGUAAUAUGUGUAAUACUCCAAAGUAUGCUAAAUUAGAAGAAAGAACAGGAUAUGGUGGUGGUUUUAAUGAAAGAGAAAAUGUUGAAUAUAUAGAAAGAGAAGAAUCUGAUGGUGAAUAUGAUGAGUUUGGACGUAAAAAGAAAAAAUACAGAGGGAAAGCAGUUGGUCCUGCAUCUAUAUUAAAGGAAGUUGAAGAUAAAGAAUCAGAGGGAGAAGAAGAGGAUGAGGAUGAAGAUCUUUCCAAAUACAAAUUAGAUGAGGAUGAGGAUGAAGAUGAUGCUGAUCUCUCAAAAUAUAAUCUUGAUGCCAGUGAAGAAGAAGAUAGUAAUAAAAAGAAAUCUAAUAGACGAAGUCGCUCAAAGUCUCGAUCUUCACAUUCACGAUCUUCAUCACGCUCAUCCUCCCCCUCAAGUUCAAGGUCUAGGUCCAGGUCCCGUUCAAGAAGUUCUUCCAGUUCGCAGUCAAGAUCUCGUUCCAGUUCCAGAGAACGUUCGAGAUCUCGUGGGUCGAAAUCAAGAUCCAGCUCCAGGUCCCACAGGGGCUCUUCUUCCCCACGAAAAAGAUCUUAUUCAAGUUCAUCAUCUUCUCCUGAGAGGAACAGAAAGAGAAGUCGUUCUAGAUCUUCUUCAUCUGGUGAUCGCAAAAAAAGACGAACAAGAUCACGGUCACCCGAAAGCCAGGUGAUUGGUGAAAACACUAAACAACCCUGAGCCCAGGGCCAACCCCUACGGAACACCACUACUUUACCCAGACGCCACAGGUCAUCUUCUGGAUCAUCCCAUUCCGGUUCCCGUUCAAGUUCAAAAAAUAAAUAAUGUAUUAAAAUUUACAUCUUAAAAAAAAAAAAA